CUGACCGCAACACACAGCAGCAGCGAUGGGGGAGGAGAAGCGGCACCAGUUGAUGCAGAACCUAUUCGGUGAUCAAUCUGAAGAGGAAGAGGAAGAGGUUGAUUCCGAGCAUGAGUCCAAUCCCCAGCCCAAUUCUGUAUGAUUCUCUAAUUUCAAGUUUCCUAUCUAUUCUGAUUCCAAAAGCAUGUUUGGGAAUGAUAAGGGUUUCAAUUUCUGCUUUAAUCUUUUAGCUGAAGGAAGAUAUAGGUUGUUUUUCUGUUAAUGGCGGUGGAUGAUUUGGAUGAAAGUGUGAAUCUUGGCGAUUUUUUUUGCUUGCAGUUGUUUAGGCCUAACUCCGCCUAUGUCUUACAUGGCCGGUCCCAAGCCCGGAUAAAAGAGGAGGGGGAGGGCGUCAGGUAGUCGACAGCCGGCACUCCAUGAUCACGUCGAAUCCUUAUGAAAAUGAAUCCAGAACAAAAUCGCGCUAAAGCUAGGGCGUCACCCGUAAGUGGCGCGCUGUGUGGCCCGAGCACAGUGAUAAGUGAGCAAGGGUCGCUGUAUCUCCAUCGGCACCCGGAUGCAGUGUUAAAUGAGCAAGGGGGCCAUAGAAACUUCUUUUCGAACGACUCCACUCAAAGUUGUUUGGGAGCAUAUGCUCCUAUCAACUUUACCCGGGACACACAAAAGAAGUACUUUGAUCCUAUUAGACGGGGGAGGGUGAAGAAGCUAGGACAGAAGGGUAGAGUUUAAGAGAGCAAAAUGCGUUUAGGAACGUGGAAUAUAGGAACCUUAACGGGAAAAUCUAUGGAAGUAGUGGAAGUUAUGGUGAGGAGAAGGAUAAAUAUUAUGUGCCUACAAGAAAACUAAGUGGGUUGGUAGUAAGGCAAAGGAUCUAGAAAACUCAGGGUUUAAACUUUGGUAUUCGGGCACAAAUAGAACGAGAAACGGUGUUGGCAUCAUCGUGGACAAGACCUUGGUACAAGAUGUUGUAGAUGUCAAGAGGGUCGGAGAUAGAAUCAUGGCAAUCAAGAUUGUAAUAGGACAAGAACUUAUCAAUGUGAUUAGUGCGUACGCACCUCAAGUAGGGUUGGAUACGAGUUCAAAGGAGAAAUUUUGGGAAGAUCUUGGAGACUUGGUGCAAGGAAUUGCUCAGACGGAGAAGUUAUUUAUAGGAGGAGAUUUAAAUGGACACGUGGGCAGGGAGACAGGCAACUAUGGAGGUUUUCAUGGUGGCCAUGGUUUUGGGGAGAGAAACGAGGAUGGGGAAGCUAUCUUGGAUUUUGCAAUGGCAUAUGAUCUCUUCUUAGCCAACACCUUCUUUAAGAAGAGAGAAGAACAUGUGAUCACCUACAAGAGUGGAUCGUCAAAAACACAAAUAGAUUUUCUUCUAAUGAGGAAAGGGGAUCGUAUAACUUGUAAGGAUUGCAAAGUUAUACCAGGAGAGAGCGUGGCUAAUCAACAUCGCUUGUUGGUGAUGGAUGUACAUAUCAAAAGAGUAAGACAAAAGAACAAGACUUGGAAGUGCCCAAGGACUAGAUGGUGGAAUCUAAAAGAAGAAAAACAAGUCAUUUUCAAAGAGAAGGUAAUCACCCAAUGUGUGUGGAAUAGAGAGGGGGAAGCUAGCCAAAUGUGGGAUUCCAUGGCUAGUUGUAUCCGAAAAGUAGCAAAAGAGGUAUUAGGAGAGUCCAAGGGCUUUGCCCCACACCAAAAGGAAUCUUGGUGGUGGAAUGAGGAGGUACAAACAAAGGUGAAGGCUAAGAAGGAAUGCUGUAAAGCCUUAUACAAGGAGAGGACCGAUGAAAAUGGUGAAAGGUAUAGAAAAGCGAAGCAAGAGGCGAAGAAAGCUGUCAGAGAAGCUAAGUUAGCGGCUUACGACGAUAUGUAUAAACGACUAGAUACCAAAGAAUGAGAGUUGGAUAUCUAUAAACUAUCUAGAGCAAGGGAAAAGAAGACAAGGGACCUAAACCAAGUGAGGUGCAUCAAGGAUGAGGAUGGAAAGGUUCUUGCUACAGAGAACGCGGUUAAAGACAGAUGGAGAGGUUAUUUUCAUAAUCUUUUCAAUGAAGGACAUGAAAUGAGUGCUUCUUUAGGGGAGUUGAGUAACUCAGAAGAGUGUAGAAACUACUCUUUUUAUCGUCGAAUCCGGAAGGAAGAAGUGGUUGUAGCUUUGAAGAAGAUGAAGCAUAAAAAAGCAAUAGGCCCAGACGAUAUACCAAUUGAAGUGUGGAAACUUUUGGGAGAGACAGGUAUAACAUGGCUCACUGACCUUUUCAAUAGGAUUUUGAAAACGAAGAAGAUGCCAAAUGAGUGGCGAACGAGCACUUUGGUGCCUAUCUACAAGAAUAAAGGCGACGUACAAAAUUGCAUGAACUAUAGGGGUAUUAAGCUAAUGAGUCAUACAAUGAAGCUCUGGGAGAGAGUCAUUGAGCAUAGAUUGAGGCAAGAGACACGGGUUUCGGACAACCAAUUCGGGUUCAUGCCAGGGCGCUCAACCAUGGAGGCAAUCUAUCUUUUACGAAGAUUGAUGGAAAGAUAUAGAGAUGGGAAAAAAGAUUUACACAUGGUCUUUAUAGAUUUGGAAAAAGCGUAUGAUAGGGUCCCAAGAGACAUUCUUUGGAGGAUUUUAGAGAAGAAAUGAGUACGAGUAGCAUAUAUCCAAGCUAUAAAGGAUAUGUAUGAAGGAGCAAAGACUGCCGUAAGAACUCAUGAAGGACAAACCGAAAGCUUUCCCAUAACUGUAGGAUUACAUCAAGGCUCAUCCUUAAGUCCUUACCUUUUUACGUUGGUAAUGGAUGAGUUAACAGGACAUAUUCAAGAUGAUAUUCCUUGGUGUAUGCUUUUCGCAGACGAUAGAGUGUUGAUAGAUGAAACUCAGGAAGGGGUAAAUGCAAAGCUUAACCUUUGGAGAGAAGUGUUGGAAUCUAAAGGUCUUCGCCUAAGCCGAUCAAAGACAGAAUAUAUGGAGUGCAAGUUCAGUGCAAAUGGAGGCCAAAACGAGUUAGGGGUGAGGAUCGGAGAUCAAGAAAUACCAAAGAGCGACCGUUUUCGUUACCUAGGAUCUAUCUUGCAAAAGAACGGAGAAUUAGAUGGAGAUCUCAACCACCAUAGAAUACAAGCUGGAUGGAUGAAGUGGAAGAGUGCAUCCGGCGUGUUAUGUGACCGCCGUAUGCCACUGAAGCUCAAAGGAAAAUUUUAUAGGACGGCAAUAAGGCCGGCGAUGCUGUAUGGCACAGAAUGUUGGGCGGUGAAACAUCAACACGUACACAAAAUGGGUGUAGCGGAGAUGAGGAUGCUUCGUUGGAUGUGUGGGCACACGAGAAAGGAUAAGAUUAGGAAUGAGGAUAUCCGGGGUUAAAGUAGGAGUAGCCGAAAUUGAAGGAAAGAUGAGAGAAAUCGGUUACGGUGGUUUGGGACAUGUGUGGACAUGUGCAAGAAGGCCUACUGACGCUUCGAUUAGAAGAUGCGACUAUGGGACAGAGGUUCAGGGCCGAAGGGGUAGAGGAAGACCUAGGAAAACUUUGGAAGAGACUCUAAGAAAAGACUUAGAGUACUUGGAUCUAACGAAGGACAUGACACAGGAUCGAGCGCAAUGGCGUUCUAAGAUUCAUAUAGCCGAUCCCACUCAGUGACUUGGAUUUUCCAAGUCUCCAACCAAGAAGUUUUCCUCACUUGAAAAAUUAAGGGAACACUACCCCAACCUACAUGCUCCACUCAGAAAGCUUCAACAUACAAGCUUCAACAAAAGAAAAUUCAAAGAACUUAGCGAAGAAGGCUUUGGUGUAUUUAACACAAUACGUUGAAAUGAAGGAAAGCUUAUUUAUUGAUAUCCCCGAUAAGCUACAAAUAUGUCCAUAUACAUGAAUCAAAAUAAACACACAAGAGGGAGCCUUCACAAAGGUUGCUUAGGAGAAGUCUGAGCAGUCGGUAGAGCUCCAGAAAGAGAAGGCACCGGAGGGGGAUCAUUUGGAGCCUCAGUACUGGACAGAACCUUAGAAGGAGGAGGCAUCAGAGGUUGAUCAUUUGGAGCUUCAUUACGCACUACAGCCCCAGAAGACGAAGGCAAUAAAUGCCUUUGGAACAAACCCACAAAUCUCUGAUGAUCAAGUAAAACCUGACCAUCAGUUUCCUUCAUCUGGUCAAGCUUCCUCUUCAUGUUUGUAGCAUAGUCAUGUGCGAGCCGGUGCAACUGUUUAUUCUCAUGCUUGAGCCCCCUAAUCUCCUGUUUGAGACUCAUCACUUCAGCCGCCAAUGAUUCAACUUGGCGGGUUCGAGCAAAUAGGCGUUGGGCCAUAUUAGACACAGAACCUGCACACUGAACACUAAGAGCCAGCGAAUCCUUAACAGCUAACUCAUCAGACCGUUUGGAAAGUAGUCUGUUAUCUUUGGGAGUGAGAAGGUUCCUGGCCACCACCGCAGCGGUCAUAUCAUUCUUCAUCACGGAAUCCCCAACGGUAAGAGGACCAGUAGGGGAGACGAAGGAUGGGCGCCAUAUGUUGUCUGGAGAAGGCGGGGCUGCCUCUUCAACAAGGUUCAAGUCAAAACGACGGUCAGAGGGGCCAGACAUUUUCAAAGGUGUUGAAGAGAGAAGAGGUCGGACAAAUCAAGAUCUUAGAAGUGCAAGAAUGAAGCUUCUACUGGUGGAGAUUCAAGUGUGCUUUGGAACUUAAUGCUUGAUUUAGCCCCUAUAAAAAUCUGCACUCGACGGAGCUUCAGAUAUCGAAGAGGCGCCUGCUCAGAAAUCGAAGAGGCGCUUUUCUUUGAUUCGAAAGCUCAGGCUGGCUUUGAGAAUCAAAGAGAAUCUCAGAAAUCGAACAGGCGUUUGCUUUCUCAAAAGUUGGGGCUGCUCAAAGACCACGAAAGCCGAUCUCAGAAAUCGAAGAGGCGUUGCUUUCUCAACUUCAAAGACUCACGGGGCCGAUCUCAGAAAUCGAAGAGGCGCUCGCUUUCUCAAAAGCUGGGCUCCCAGAGACCACGAGGGCCGAUCUCAGUAAUCGAAAAGGCACCUACUUUUCCAACCUUGUCAGCACCUGUCACACGCACACUCAGCUUUGCGGAAAUUAUGGGCAUUCUGUCGAAGACUUCUGGGGAAGGUAGAAAACACAUGAAUCUUACUGUUCAAUCACCCACUUCCCACACGCAACAAUAGCUCAUGGGUACCGCAGAUAACUUUGCCAAAGUUCUCUGCCAAAGUUGAGCACGUGAAGCUUGCAGCUCCCACUACAUCGCUCUGACCAAGAAGGGUAAAAGAAUAGCAAAGAAACAGCACUAACAAAGUUUAGACCCAUAAAUUUUGAAGGUCUAGCUACCAUAUUAUUACCCACAAGGGUAAAGGAACAGUACCACUGCUGGAUAAUUGGAAAGUCCCUGUGUGUCAACCUCUGUGCUUCGCGGCAAGAUAGACUAGCAAACAUGCCCAACCUUUACUCACAUUCGAGAAAACACUCCCAAUAAGAUUGCUUGCUCCAAAAUCGAAGAGGCACCGUCCUCCGAAUCUCGAGAACUAAACUCCCAACAUGACUACUUUCUUAAAAAUCGAAGAGAGGGUAAAGGAACAGUACCAUUGCUGGAUAAUUGGAAAGUCCCUGUGUGUCAACCUCUGUGCUUCGUGGCAAGGUGGACUAGCAAACAUGCCCAACCUUUACUCACAUUCGAGCAAACACUCCCAACAAGAUUGCUUGCUCCAAAAUCGAAGAGGCACCGCCCUCCGAAUCUCGAGAGCCAGACUCCCAACAUGAUUACUUUCUCAAAAAUCGAAGAGACAUUGCUCCCCGAAUCUUCGAGAGCCAGACCCCCAGCAUGAUUGCUUUCUCAAAAUCGAUGAGGCAUCGUUCUCCGAAUCAAUCGAAGAGGCGCUCGCUUUCUCAAAAGCUGGGCUGCUCAUAGACCACGAGGGCCGAUCUCAGAAAUCGAAGAGGCACCUACUUUUCUAGCCUUGUCAGCAUCUGUCACACGCACACUCAGCUUUGCAGAAAUUAUGGGCAUUCUGUCGAAGACUUCUGGUGAAGUAGAAAGCACAUGAAUCUUACUGUUAAAUCACCCACUUCCCACACGCAGUAAUAGCUCAUGGGUACCACAGAUAACUUUGCUAAAGUUCUCUGCCAAAGUUGAGCACGUGAAGCUUGCAGCUCCCACUACAUCGCUCUGACCAAGAAAGGUAAAAGAAUAGCAAAGAAACAGCACUAACAAAGUUUAGACACAUAAAUUUUGAAGGUCUAGCUACCAUAUUAUUACCCACAAGUGUAAAGGAACAGUACCACUGCUGGAUAAUUGGAAAGUCCCUGUGUGUCAACCUCUGUGCUUCGUGGCAAGGUAGACUAGCAAACAUGCCCAACCUUUACUCACAUUCGAGAAAACACUCCCAACAAGAUUGCUUGCUCCAAAAUCGUAGAGGCACCGUCCUCCGAAUCUUGAGAGCCAGACUCCCAACAUGACUACUUUCUCAAAAUCGAAGAGAGGGUAAAAUAACAGUACCAUUGCUGGAUAAUUGGAAAGUCCCUGUGUGUCAACCUUUGUGCUUCGUGGCAAGGUAGACUAGCAAACAUGCCCAACCUUUACUCACAUUCGAGAAAACACUCCCAACAAGAUUGCUUGCUCCAAAAUCGAAGAGGCACCGCCCUCCGAAUCUCGAGAGCCAGACUCCCAACAUGAUUACUUCCUCAAAAAUCGAAGAGACACUGCUCUCCGAAUCUCGAGAGCCAGACCCCCAGCAUGAUUGCUUUCUCAAAAAUCGAAGAGGGCAUCGUUCUCCGAAUCUCGAGAGCCAGAUACCACAGACCAUUUUUUCAAAAGUGCUCUGACAGAGUUAAAACAUGUGAAACUGGCAGCUCCCACUACCGUGCUAUGACCAAACAGGGUAAAUGAAUAGCAUUACUACUUGUUGUUAGGAAGACUCCUAUAUAUGUCGACCCCCAUCCCCAACGGACAGGCAGACCUGCAAAAAUGCUCAACCCUUCAUCAUAUCUGAGAGGACACUCCCAACGAAGCCUUUCGAAAUAUUCAGCUUUCUUUCCCCCCGAUAAUACCUCUACAAACAAGCUAUACUAGAGCAAGAAUAUCUCAUAUCAUCAGGGUUAAAAGCAAGAGUAUCCCAUAUCAUGCUUUUUCCCUAUCUUUUCCUUUGGCCUUGUUUUUACCUGCAAGACAAGGAGAAAGAGAGCAAUCAGUCAGCACUUGGAAUCAAGCUUCCAGCCAGGAACUGACUGCCUGGAACCCCUUACCUGAUUACUUACCUGGCAUUGCUCUCGAGUACUCAUCUUCAACAUCUUAUGUUUCCAGGGAAGAUUCCGCAUCUGCUUGAGGAACAGAUAGGGCAAGUGCGAAGGAUAUAAGGAAGCAUGUGGAGACAAGCGUAACAGCACACGUGCCGAUACAUCCAUUACUCUGUCAAAAGCAAAAGUAUCCCAUAUCAGCAGGGUGGAACGUACUCUAGAUUUGAUGGACUUGUUUUGACCCUCAAAUUCUUCAGUCGGCCUUAUACUCUGGAGGAAACCAGAAAACCCUCCAGCUCAGUUCAAGAAUAAGCCUGUGGAAAGUUACUUCUUCAAAAGCAAAAGUAUCUCAUAUCAUCUCUUCUCAUUUUUCUUCUCUUUAUCCUUCAUGCUGCUGCAAGAUGGGGAGAAGGUGAACAAUCAAUCGGAGCUCUGAUUGCUUACCUUGUCUGUCACCUCUUUCAGCAGACUCCUUAGCUCGGCGACUUGGGGGACUCCUACUACAUGGUUUGUAUCGCGCUUGACCAAGCCUGAAACUACAAGUAAGCUUCAAGUGAAAUUGAUACAUUACCUUGUGCAUCUCCACCAGUUAAAGAUACCACCCCUGGAUGGAGGAAGAGUACUUCCAGAGAAGAUGCCACAUCUACCUAUGAGACAGAUAAGGCAAGUCAAGACAACACCAUACUCCGAUACUUAGAAGUUUCGUGAUUACGAGAUCAUUCUCACACAAUAUUUCCUAAUGUCAUUUGUACUAAAUCAUUCACUUGUACUCACUAAAGGAGAGCUUGAACCUAUGUACUUGUGUAAACCCUUCACAAUUAAUGAGAACUCUUCUAUUCCGUGGACGUAGCCAAUCUGGGUGAACCACGUACAUCUUGUGUUUGCUUUCCUAUCUCUAUCCAUUUAUAUAUUUAUCCACACUAAUGACCGGAGCAAUCUAGCGAAGAUCACAAAAAGCGACCGUUUUCGCUACCUAGGAUCUAUCUUGCAAGAGAACGGAGAAUUAGAUGGAGAUCUCAACCAUAGAAUACGAGCUGGAUGGAUUAAGUGUAAGAGUGCAUCCAGCGUGUUGUGUGACCGUCGUAGGCCACUGAAGCUCAAGGGAAAAUUUUAUAGGAUGGCAAUAAGGCCAGCGAUGUUGUAUGGCACAGAAUGUUGGGCGGUGAAGCAUCAACACGUACACAAAAUGGGUGUAGCGGAGAUGAGGAUGCUUCGUGGGAUGUGUGGGCACACGAGAAAGGAUAAGAUUGGGAAUGAGGAUAUCCGAGGUAAAGUAGGAGUAGCCGAAAUUGUAGGAAAGAUGAGAGAAAAUCGGCUCCGGUGAUUUGGACAUGUGCAAAGAAGGCCGACUGACGCUCCGGUUCGAAGAUGUGACUACGGGACAGAGGUUCAGGGCCAAAGGGGUAGAGGAAGACCUAGGAAAAUUUUGGAAGAGACUCUAAGAAAAGACUUAGAGUACUUAGAUCUAACGGAGGACAUGACACAAAACCGAGCGCAAUGGCGUUCUAGGAUUCAUAUAGCCGACCCCACUUAGUGGGAAAAGGCUUUGUUGUUGUUGUUGUUGUUGUUGCAGUUGUUUAGGCCUGGACUGAAGAAGUUUUGUAGAAUGAGAUUCUUAUGAGUAGUCAAUUUUAGUGGGAUUGUUGUUUCAAUCUAGAUAAUGAAUGAUGUCGUUUCCCUAUUCGGUCUGUCCUUUGACAGUGUAGCAGAUCUGGAAUUUUGUGAAAUGCUCUUUAUUGAGAAUGAAGAGCCACAAAUUGAAGACGAAUAAAAAAAAUUUGCAUGUUCUGAUUAGAAAUAUAGAAUUGGUUUUAAAUUAUUUUCUUGACUGUUUGGUUCUGAUGUGCUUUACCGAUAAAUCAUGGGUUUGCAAGAUAUUUUUUGUUGUUUUCUCUUGCCGUUGACUGGGGAUGUGGGUGAUCCUGUUACCCUGUACACCGCAGUACAGGGCGGUAACAAGAUUAUCUAUUGUGCUACUGCACUCUCUAUAAUCAGCGGAGACCUCUAUAGGGCUGAUCAAGGAGGGGUCUACAAUCUUACCAAAGCAUUUCAGGUGUGGUCGUUAUUGCCAUAUCCUUGAAAUGCUCCUUUUUUACAUUUAGUAAUCUGUUUCGGUUUUGAUGUCUUUUAAGUUCUUGGGUUUGUUCAAUGUUGGAUUUGAAUUUUACCCUUCGAGAGUCGCUUAUGUGAAGCUUUUGACUGUUUGCAUUGCAGGACUAUAACAACAAAAUGGCGCAAUUACGAGCAGGAAAGAGUGGCAAGAGCAAACUUACAAUUGUAAAGUUCAAGACUCUGGAGUCAGUGGAUGGAUGGGAAGUUCGUCAGGGGACUUAUUUUCAGGAUGUGGUUGCUUCCAAGUAUGAUGGAGGAAUGGAUGCCAAGUUCGAAUUCACUUCACCAGAGAUGCUGUUUUCUUUUACUCUAUUUCUUGCUGCAUUGUAGGAUAUGUUUUCACCACGGGAGGGUAUAUUGAGCUGUCUGAAAAGCUUUCACUUCCUUUGGGUCAAACCCUCGACCGGUAUAUGCCAUAUUUGCAUUCUCAAAUGGAGCUACUAAGCUAAAAGCAGCUUCCCAAAAUAAAAUUCAUGGUAUUUUUCUUAUUAUUAUUUUCUUAGAAUUUGAACACAAAAUGAAUUCAUUUAAUAGAAAAUCAUUUGCAACAGAAAUUACCUGAUGAAUUUGCUGCACAGCUACGACAUUCUAACAACAUUUAGUCAAUUUGAGAAGCAAGCUGUGCAAGUUAAGUUGCAUUCUGUUUACUUAAUUUUCUGUGUUUUUUCUUUUGCUGUUUGGAUUUAGGAGCUAAAACAUUCGUCUUUUGCAAUGUUUUUAGGUGGAUGAUGCUAUCUGGGCUGCUGAAAAAGCCACAUUUAAAGCUGAGAUGAGUGGAAAGAAGCUAAUGCACUCAUGGAACAACUUCAGACAUUUCAAGCGUGGCUUUGGGAUUCUGCAACAGUCCCGGGUUUGAGGAUUACAUAAAAAGAGGGCUGGAACCCAGCUAGUCGAAGCUGGGGGGCUAGGCCCUCACGCCCAUAAUAUAUUACUUGAAAAAAAAGACAUACAACGGGAGGGACAUAAUACUUAAACCCCAAUGAUAAAAAAGCAAAAUCAUAUACAACCACUCUAAGCAAUCAACAUGGGCAUCACAUAUUGAAUCCAAAAGGUUGACGCCCCAUAUAAUUGAAAAUAAGGAAAUUAAAGAGACUAAAAAAGAAUAAUUGAAGUUGGUGGGUGAGAAAGCAAAAGUGUGGACGACGAAAUCUUUGAUCCAUAUGGUAUGUCAUCUGAAAAGAAAAAUAAAAUGCUGGUGACAAUGAAUGAAGAAUUGAAAGUAAGAAACGAGAUUGGCAUGUAUUUCAGAGUUUAUACUGAAUUAGGCUAGUGUAAAUUGAAAUAAGUUAGAAAACGCACCUUAACGAAUGUCAAUGUGUGGGAUGUGUGCAAUCUUAGGCCAGUCCUCACCUGUUUCUUUCCGGCACCUUGCGCUUAAAAUGGGGCAACAAAGAAUGUGCAAUGUAGAAAGACAGGGGAGUGCACGAGUCCCUUCUGGCAGUGAAGUUAGAUUAGGACACCAGUUGAUAUACAACGUAGAAAGACAGGGAAAAGAAGGGAACGACAUAUUUUCCGUUGAUGAAGAAGAAGAAGCACUGUUUUGAGUGUGCGCCCUCCACCAUCCCUUCAGAACAGGGCAAUGUGCUAUGGAGAGCUGCUCCAGGGAGGGAAAGAGUGAGAUCCUCAUCAUCUCAUCACUCAUACUAUUACUGCUCUCUUUCUCUGAUAUGUACUCCAACUUCUCCAAACAUCGAAGUUCAAGGGACUUAAGGGAAGGCAAAUGAUCCAAGGGUGGAAGAUGUUGGCAUCUCUCACAUCCAUUCAAUCUGAGAUUAACAAUAUUAAUGAGAGAAGAAACCCAACUCGCAAACCUCACACCACCAUAUAAGUUUAUGGACAACUGCUUUAGAUUAGAAUGGGGUUGCAAUACUUCCAUUGACUUUAUAAUAUCCUCCUCAUCAACUGCGCUUACAUCUUCUCCAAGUUUCCAGGAUAAAUCCAACGAAUGGAGAUGCUGUUUGUCCUUGAGAGGUGUACCAACAUUUGAUUCUGACACCACAUCUUUCUCCUGCCUCAAAUUGCUUAUGACUAAUUUUCCCCUUAAUUCGUUAAGGGUCCCCAGCUCAGCAAGACCAGCACUACCGCCCCUCCCCAAACAAUUGCUUUCGCUCAAAACAAAUCUAUUCAAUGUACGAACACCUUUCAAUUCACCAAUUCCACGUGGCAUUCCACUCAAUCCCCAACAGCCUUCCAAGAUGAGAUGCCUUAAGUUGAACAUUUUUUUAAUGUCUCUAGGCAAUUCCACAAGACUCUGACACCAACUGAGAUCUAGUGUUUCCAAAUUCGAAAGUCCAACUAUCCAACCUGGAAGUUUAUUGAUGCCAGAAUUACGACUAAGAUCAAGAUAUCUCAAAUAUUUCAUUUUUCUAAGACAUUUAGGUACUCCUUUAAUUCCUAAUUUACUGAGACUCAAUAUACGCAAUGACUUAAAAUUUGAAACAAUUAUAGCACAAAAUGAAUCACAUAAUGACCCAUCUAUAUCACUCAACUCAUUCUGGCAAAGAAAAAGAAAAGUUCGUAUCUUUUUUGCUUUUGGCAACGAAGUUGGCACUUCCCAUUCUGACGGAUCGACUUGAAAAUUGAAAGAUACAUGACGAAGCUUUUCAUGAAAAUUCUUUUGGUCUGGUUCAACUACGACGCUUCCAAUCCCCGACACUAAGAUUGCAAGUUCAUUCAUGAGAUCAUGCAUUUUACAACUUCUUAUUAUACCAAACUCAUCUUUUUCUUCUUCUUGAAAAAACGAUCUCCACAACAACUCCCUGUAAUAUUCAUACGCAACAUCCUCCAAACCCUUGUUUUCAUCGGAUGACUUAAUGAACCCUUGCGCCACCCAAAGUCUAAUCAAUCUCUGCACAAAGAUCUUAUAAUCAGGUGGGAACAAGCUACAAUAAGCAAAACAAUGCUUCAAAUGUGAUGGGAGCACAUCAUAACUCAAUUUAAGUGUUGGUAAAAUAUCAUUUUCUUCUUGACUUAUUUUUGAAAGUUCCUUUUCUUUGAAAUUCAACCAAUCACUUUCGUCAUCUUUGGCAAACAACAUCCCACCUAUCGUCCUUAUAGCAAGUGGAACUCCCUGACAUUUUCUUGCAACCUCUUUCGCAACUGCCUUAAUUGUUGAAUUCUCUGUCUCCUUUCCAUCUUUAUAAGCCAUUUUCUUAAAUAAAGACCAACUUUGCUCUUCAUUCAAACCCUUUAAGGUGUAUGAUUUAGCUGUGUCUGAUAUCGUCGCAACGGUUUUACUACGAGUGGUUAUUAGUAUUCUACUACCUUCUCCACCACCCAUUAACAAGUUCUUCAAGCUAAGCCACUUCUCUCGAUCCUCAUUCCACACAUCAUCCAACACAAGUAGGUACUUCUUCCUAGCUACUUUUUUCCUAAGAUCUUUUUGCAACUGCUCAAUCUCGUCAUGAUUUUUGGAUUGAAGGAUUUUCUUAACAACUAUAUCCAACUCAAAUGCAUUAGAGACGCAUGUCCAUAUUUUCAACUCAAAAUGAUUUUGAAUCACCUUAUUGUUGAAUAUGAGUUGGGCAAGUGCAGUUUUCCCCAAUCCCCCAAUUCCAACUAUGGAAAUGGUUGACACAUUCUUAGUUGAGAUAGGAUCCAACAAAAGUUGGAUAAUAGCCUUAGUAUCUUCAUCCCUCCCUACAAUAUUUUCCUCAGGGACAAAUGAGUGAGUGACCCUCUCUCUCUUUAUAAAUCGUGUAUCUUCAUGGUUGUCUUUUAAGUCACUGGGUCUACGAGAUGCAACCUCACUAAUCCUCUUGUUAAUGUUUUUUAUCUUGUGACCCAUCUUUAGCCCAAACACAAGUUGAUUUGAGUUAGAAAAGAAAAGGUGCACCUAUAAGAAUUUGAGUAGACAUAAUCAUUAUUUUGAUAGAAGGAUAUUAAUUAAGUUAAUAGAGUUUUGUAAUAGUAGGUUAUAUGAAACAUUCAAAAUAAUAAUGUAGAAGACUUCCUGCAAUUAAUUAUGAGUUAUUUAGAGAUCUAUUGUAUUCCUAAUAGGUGGAUAUCAAUAGGCUUAUGUGACUAUGAAAAGGUUAUACGUGAUUUAACCGCACAAAGCCUCUAAUAUCUUUUUAGUCAAAUGACUUUGGAUGUGAUUCCUAGUCACCAAUAGUGUUUGACAGAAACCUUGUUAGCUUUUUUUUUUCUUUCUUUUUUUAAUCAAAAUCAUUGACUUUGUACAUCUCAUUAUAUUGAUAUUAAUGUAUUUCCAUGUCAACUAUCUAUUUUUGAAAUUCCUUAAUUUAUGGACUUCAAACUUUAUAAUAAACUAUUCCCUUAAAAGAGUAUAAAAGAAACAAUAAAUAGUAAAAUUUGAAACCAACAAAACAUUAAUCUACUAAUAAUCAAGCGAGUACCUUCUAAACACAUAAAAAAAAUGUUUACAUAUAAUUGGAUUCUCAUAGACACGAAUCCAAAACAAGAAUUGCAAAAUCAUACAUAUAUACAUAUAUAUAUAUAUAUAUGGGUACAUUUUGCAUAGAAAUGUAUCCAUGAGACUAAAAAAUGCAUUCAACUCAUAUAUCAUAUAUGGGUACAUUCUAAACUCAUAAAAAACAAUAAAUGCUGCUAAAUCCACCCCAUUAUCUUAUUUUUCUACUCACUUUUUAGUGGAAGUGUUAAUUACAUAUUUAUUCUUUUAUAAAAAGACUUUUAGAGCAUCUACAAAAGAUAUGUCAAAUAUAGUAUGUUAAAAUUUUAUUUGAUGGCUGAUGUGGCAAAUUGAAUACAAGUGUUAAAUCUUCUUAUUUUACAAUGGAUGUGUCAAAUAUUUAUUUUAUUAUUUUAUUGUGCCUAGAAUUACAUUAACUACUAAAAAAUAAUCAAAAUUAGUUUUAAUUUGUAUUAUAUUGGUUGUUAAUGAGAUUCAUGCAUUAAAAAAAAUAUUAAAUAUAUUUGACUCCUUCUUUAUUUGCUGUUAAAAAAGGCAGCUAGAAAGCAAAAAGUCAAAUGACUCACAUGUCAUAUCAUAUAUGAUAUAUCUAUUGAAGAACACUUGAAUAUCUUUUAAUCCUAUUUGACAUAUUUAACAUUUCUUUUGAAGAUGGUCUUAGACCCUUAUUUAUAAAUUCAUUAUAAUUUUUUUUUUUAAGAAAAGAGAACAAAAGGCCAAACAACCAAAGCCCACCAUACAUCCCGACUUACACAACCCCUCUCCUUACCGCCGCCGCCAAAACCCCCCAUUUUCCAGGCGCUAUCUCUCACCUGCACCAGUAUACCAUAUCCAGAUCUAAGAAACCUCCCAAGGCGCCAAACCCACUCACACCCAUCAAACAAAGAUAUCAAUUCCUCUCAACUACAGAUCUAGGAAAGCAGUAUACAUGAACUUGGAUGGAGAAGUGUGAGAGAGUAGGUCUUUCUCUCAACACAGACUCAUAGUCUCUCUCUUUCUCUCUCAAGUAAACCUUUCACAAUAGGUAGAUUAUGGAUAUGGGUGGAGAGGUGAAGAGAGAGAAAUGGAGGUUUUACCGUCCGGACGGGAUACGUCAAGAGAUUGGGUGGAUCGGUGGUAAAGGAAAAGUGGAGAAAAAGAGUGGCUUUUUUUUUUCUUUGAAGUUUUCAUUUGAAGAGCGAGACAAUGUUUCUUUCUUUGUUGGAUAUUUCCCAGACGUUAUUUUAGAAAUAAAGUGAGUGAAAAAAUAAUAUUUUAAUUUUUUACGCUUUUUAAGAUAGAUGAGAUUAUAAUAUGAGUAAAAAAAUAUGACAAUAAAGAGAGUCUAGCAGCAUUCAAAACAAUUGCAAUUGUACCUAUUACAUAUAUACGGAAGGUAUAAUUGUAGUGUUUUUAUUUUUGGACAAAGGAAGGUAUAAUUGUAGUUACUUGUCAAAAGAAAGUACCCAUACAAUUGCCAUAUAUAAUUAUGGUACAAUUCCUGCAUCCUCCCAAAAGUAAAUUGUUUUCAUGUGUGCACCCCAAAGUUUUUUUUUUAUAAAAAAAUGUACCCGUAUAAUUAGACACAAAUUUCAAAAGAAUGUACCCAUUUAGAUUUAUAAAAAAAAAAAAGAAAAAAAAAGGAGGGCAUCCAUAAGCGUUCUAGCAAAUAAAAUGGACCCAUGAUUAUUAAUAAAGAUUGAUAAAUUCAGUCAAACGAAAAAUGAGAUGAAACUAUUGGAACGUAUAAAAAUUCAUAUUUUAGUUUCAAAUUAAAGGGAUGUUAGGGAUAUCUAGCUGCAAUAAAAUCCCUUAAAUGAUGUAAAUGAUCAAUUAUCCUAAACAGAAAUGAUAUAAAAGGAAAUGUUUAAAUAAAAAGAAAAGGAAAAUCUGACAUGGAAUUUAAUUAAUUUUAAAAAUUUGAUAUGGACAUAAGUCAAAGGCCUUCAAACAAAAAUUUAAAACUAAAAAUGUUUCAUCAAUAAACAUUAGUGACUUGGGAUCAGACUUAAUUAUCCCCAUUUUUUAUUUUAUGACGCAUCUUUAACCCAGUAACAAGUUCAUUUGAGCUAGAAAAAAAGGGCGUAAAUGUAAGAAUUUGGGUAGACACCAUCAUUAGGUCAAUAGAAUUGUAUUAAUUAAGUUAAUAGAAUUUUGUAAUGCUAAGUUAUAUGAAACAUUCAAAACAAUAAUGUUGGGGAUUUAUUACAAUUAAUUAUGAGUUAUUAAGAAACCUAUUGUAUUCCUGAUAAGUGGAUAUCAAUAGGCUUAUGUGACUACAGAAAGGCUCUACGAGAUGCAUCCUCACCAAGCUUCUUGUUAGUAUCUUUUAUCUUAUGAUCCAUCUUUAGUCCAAAAGCAAGUUGAUUUGAGUAAGUUAGAGAAGAAGAGGCGUACCUUUUUUGACACCUUUGUAUUUUCUGGCACCAUUUGUCUUUGUUGAGCUUUAGUAUUAAACUCAUCCAGCACAUCAUCGGCUUCAUAGACUGCAUCUUCUACGCUUUGGAGCCACAAUUUGACUUCAUUGUUGGCUUGCUUUUGCUCAGCGUCAAGAAGAACAGCUUGGAAUGCUACAACUGUCUCCUUAAGCUUCUGGAACUCAUCUUGGACACCCCAGAUCAAUCCAAUCUCUUGGAAAGCAAGGGAGCCUAGCCUUCCGAUGAUCCCUUCUGCAAUGUUGAAGAGAACUCCUUCCGCCAUUUCUUGUAUUCAGGACAAGCAAAAACACAAGUGAAGUGAAUUAAGGUAGAAACCUAUAACUGAGAAUAUGGUUUUGCGUAGUACUAGAUAGCUCGUCCCUGCUCGUCUUUAUAUGCCCACUCAUCCAACCACUCAUACGUUAUUCCAUGAAUAAAUUAAAAACAAAGACUUGUCACCAAUUCACUAAUGCCAACCUGGUCCUUAACGUUUAGUUGCAUUUUUAAACCCAUCUGCAAUUUUAUCAGUUGGUGAAACACAAUUAUAAAUGGACCAAAACUAAAUAUACGCCACCAAUAUAUAUUGAAUUAAUUGCACUCUUGUCCGACUACCCAUACACCAUUCCAUACAUAAAAUAAAAACAAAGCCUUGUAGCAAUAUCACUAACGCCAGCUUGCUUCUUAACUUUAUGUUGUAUUUUUAAAAUCCACUUGUAAUUUUAUGGUUUUGCGUCGUGAAAGAUGCCCCUCCUGAUGGUCUUUAAUCUCUGUAUGCCCUUCUCUCAUCCAGCCAUUCACACAUUUUGACCGAUGGUUUGGUUCCACUGGUUAAUAUAUUAAAGGAAACUUUAACAAAAAGUUUUCGAUACUAUUUAUUUUAACAAAAAAUCAUAUUUUUACUAUAAAAAGUCAAUCCUGGUACUAUGUAUUUUACCCUUUAUUUUGUUCUUAUCAUUAAAACUUAAAAUUUUCAAAUAAUUUUUAUUAGUUUUCCUUAUAUUAAAUCCAUUUGCAAUUUUGUUGGUAACUCUUGUACUAAUUUAUUUAUGGAAAAAUUAGGUUCUCAUCCUUCAUUUUGCUACUUCAUUGAUUAAAAUCAUAUUCCUUUUCAAAUUUUUAUCAAGGUCCUUUGGUAUUAAUAACAUCAUUAAUUAUUUUAAUAAUAAAAUAUUUUUUUAUUUCUAAAUAUAUUCAUUUAAUUUUAAAAAUGUUACAAUUAGUAUAUUUAUAUUUAUGACUUAAUUUUUUAUCAUAUAUUUUUAGUUUUAGUUUGUACCCAUUUUUAAUUUGUAAUUCUUUUUUAAUUUGUAUCAAUUUUCUUUUCAAUUUUAAUUUGUACCAAUAUAUAUAUAUAUAUUUUUUUUGUGCCCAUAUUUUUUAAAGUUUAUUUGUAUUUGUACCCAUAUAUUUUUUUAUUUGUACUUUUUAUUUUGCUAAAUGUACACAUGCUAAUUAUAUGUACCCAUUCAUGUAAAACUUUUUAAUCUUAAAAUGUACUUAUUCUUAAAUAUACCAAUUUGUUAUAUUUAAAAUGUACCCUUUUUUUUUUAUAUAAAAUCUAUUCAAUUUUUUUCUAAUCCAUUUUUAAACUUAUAUGGGUACAUUCUUUUUUUCUUUGAUUUUAAAUGUAUCCAUGUCAAGUUUAAUCGAAGAAGUUUACUAAUGUUAUUAAGCUAUUAUCUUCUUCUUCUUUUUUGUGAUUUUGAAGAAUGUACCCAUGUUUUGAUACAAUAAUUUUUUUGGUUAAAUUUGAUGAAUGUACCCAUGUUUAUAUAUACACACACACAAUAGUAUAUUUAUAUUUUAAUAUUUUUAAUCCCACAAAUUAUGGUUUUUUAUUUAAAAUCUCAUUUAUAUAAACAACUAAAAUUUCUAAUUUUUAAUUUAAAAAAUAUAGUAACGUACAUAGAAAUAAAUUAUCACAUUAAUUUCAGGGACUUCGAUCAAAAAUUAAAAAUCAACAAGAUUUCAAUAAAAGAAUAUUCAUAGCUAAGGACCGCAUCCAAAGUCUCCCUUUAUUUAUUCAUCCAUCCUCACAAAUUAAUAAAUUAUAGCCGUUGGUUCGGUUCCCCUCCUUUUAUUUCCCUCUACUUUUGUGUUCCCACGCCAUCACGUGGCCACCCCUUAAAUCCGGCUCUCCCCACAGGAUUUAGAGAGAUUUUUCAAUGUGACCGGUAUAUGGGAUGAUACAUCACGUGUCACUAUAUAAAUAGUGGGAUAUGUGUGCUAAAAAGUUAAUAACUUAUAAAAUAAAAUUUCGCACCACUUCUAUUGAAAUACAUGUUAUACCACUUGUAUUCCUAUCAUAAUUAAAAAUUUCUAUAAUAUUUGGAUCCAAAUUCCUCCCCACAUGUUCUCUCCCACACACCCGGCCCACACUCUACCAUAUUAAUAUACCCGCCAUUUGCUCAUUUGUACACCCAGCUAUGCACGUUUCACACUCGGCACUUCCAAACACUCACACAUGAUUUCAUGUAUAAAAUAAAAACAAAGACGUGUCAAUAUGCUAUUGCAUGAGAGAUUUUUCAAUGUGACUAUCACAUGAGGUGGUACAUCAUGUGUUCCUAUAUAAAUGAUGGAAUAUGUAUGUUAAAAGAUUAAUAACUUAAAAAUUAAAUUUUUUUACCAUUUACAUAAAAACACAUGAUAUACCAUCUGUGUUCCCAUCACAACUAAAAAUUUCUCUUAUUUGCUAGUCUUAAUAAUUCAAAUUUGAUUUUUAAUACCAGCUGGUCCUUCACACUUCUUAACUUUUCGGCAGGCUGCUGCACGUUCCUUAUUUUUGGGCAAACCGCUGCACGUUUUUUUUUUUAAUUUUUGGGCAGACCGCUGCACGUUUUUUUUAAAAAAAAAUUUGGGCAGGCCGCUGCACGUUGUUUUUUUAUUUUUGGCAGACCUCUGCACGUUUCUACUAUUUUGUCAAGUAUCUUUAUCUUAUAAGAUGUAAGAUGGAAGAUUGAGAUUGUUUUGAUAGAAGUAUGAAGAUUGCCAAAACUAUGUAAAGUUAGGACACUAGUAGCACGUUUAUUAAUCCGUAAUCAGAUUGAGAGGAAUUGAAUUGAAAAUGAAUUGGAUUGAUGAGAAAUUAUAAUGAGGUGUAAUCAGAAUUAGAUUCUUGUUGAAGUUGUUUACCAAAACUGUCUGAAAUCGGAGUAGGAAUGACAUUGAUGCAUAUAAAUUAUUUACUAAUUCACAUGAAUCAGAAUGAUAACUAAUGUGAUUCCUAAAGUACCCCUACUUAAACUAAUUUAUUGUAUAUGCUAAUUAUUUUUAGUAAAACUUUUAUUCUUUUAUUUUUUUUUUAAUUUUUUACUAGAGAGAAUAAUUUUUUAUCUUUUAUAAAACUUUUAAAUUUUCCUAAUCGCAUAGAUUACUUCCAAAUUUGAUAUGAAAGAAUAGUUUUUUAUUUGCUUCUAACUCUUAAUCACCCUAAACCCUAUUAGAAAUAGGGAACUUUAAUGAAAAGUGUAGACAUCGAAAUUUCGGUAAAUAAAUGUUGACCGAUAAAUCAAAGUGUCAACGCUCAUGUAUUGCAUAAAUUUUACACGUAGCAUGUGACUCAACGAAAAUUGAAAUGAGUUUGAAAAGUCAUCAAAUAAGACACGUGUCAACACCUGGCAGAAACGACUUAUUUCAUCUGGGAUAUUAUAUUCAAAAUUAGGUCUUGGAAAAUUCUAUAAAUACAAGCCCAUUUCAUUCAUUUGGGGGGACCAAUUCAUUAGGCAAAACUCUUGAAGCUCUGAAGCUCUGAAACUCCGAAGCUCUCAAGUAUCCAGGUUCCCGAAGAAUCAAGAAAGCGUUAUUCGUUCAUCGUUCAUCCUAAGAUCAAGCCCCAACGGCCCUUUGGAUCAACAAUCAUCCACCAAUUCAAGAUCAAGCCCCGACGGCCCUUGAAGAAAGUGUUCUUCGUUCAUUGUUCUUCCAAGAUCAAGCCCCGACGGCCCUUGGAUCAACCAUCCACCAAUUCAAGAUCAAGCCCCGACGGCCCUUGAAGAAAGCACCAUCGUUCAUCAUCCGUUCAUCCAAGAUCAAGCCCCAACGGCCCUUUGGAUCAACAACGUCGACAAAUCCACACAUCCAACCGUUCUUCAAGAUCAAGCCCAAAAGCCCUUGAAGAUCCGUUCAUCACUGUUCUUCAAGAUCAAGCUCAAAAGCCCUUGGAGAUCCGUUCAUCACUGUUCUUCAAAGAUCAAGCCCAAAAGCCCCUUUGAAGAUCCGCUCAAAUCCACAUUCAAGAUCAAGUUCACGGCCCUUGAAGAACGUUCAUCCUUAGAUCAAGCCCAACGGCCCUUUGGAUCAAUCACACAUCCACAAAUACACACCUUACGGAGAUCGAAUCAGAGGAUCAAAUUUGAGAGAGAUUGUAACCCAAAAACAUCAUCAAAUACAUAAUAUUUGUUUGUGCACGUUCGUUCUUGUCUCUUUCGUUUCAGGAAUUUUCCUUGUUCACAAAUUGGCACGCCCGGUGGGAUAAUCUCUGCCUCUCAUCUCUUUCUCCGUUCAAGAAAUUCAAGCGCACUUCUAAAAUUAAUGGCAUCAAGGAAGGCUCAUAACUGUUCCCGCAACCGGCACAAAGAACAAAAACGUCCUCGUCGCAACUGGUGUCACUUUGGGCAUCACGACUCGAAGCAUGGCAAGAGCUACUUCUGCCGCCUCUUUCACCUCCGCAUCAACUCUGCCAAGGGAACAAAAGCACCCAAGACACGAGCCUUUGAUCACCUUAGCCUCACUAAGGGCACCAAGGGGGGAAAGCCCAAGGAAAUACUCCAAAUCCAUGCUCUCCGAUGCCGAUUCAAGCGACAGUUCAGCCAUGCAAGUCAUGACCAUUGGAGCAACUUCAAUCGAUGAGCAGCUGGCUCAAAUGAAUGAAGCAAUCGCAAGGCUAACCCGAACUGUGGAAGAAAAAGACUUGCAAAUUGCAGCACUAGUCAACCGAUUGGAGGCGCAAGACGGCGAUAAACCCGACCCAGAGGAUGAUCCACUAAAGGGAGGAGCUGGCGGAGACGAAGAACCCCCGGUGAAGAAAAUCGAUGGGAAGCCGGAGCCAGACCAAGCAGCGGCACUCAUGGGAUCUCUUUCUAUCCAGCAGCUGCAGGAGAUGAUCACCAACACCAUCAAGGCACAGUACGAAGGGAGCUCACAUACCUCAUUGUUCUACUCGAAGCCCUAUUCCAAGAAGAUUGAUGCCCUAAAGAUGCUAAGGGGUUAUCAACCACCAAAGUUCAUGCAGUUUGAUGGAAAAGGAAACCCAAAGCAGCAUGUUGCACAUUUCGUCGAAACUUGCAACAACGCAGGGACGGAGGGAGACUACCUCGCCAAGCAGUUUGUGCGCUCGUUGAAAGGAAAUGCCUUUGAGUGGUACACGGACCUAGAGCCUGAGUCCAUCAACAGCUGGGAGCAAUUAGAACGGGAAUUCCUCAACCGCUUCUCUACAGCACCCGCCGCACUGUGAGCAUGCUAGAGCUAACGAGCACAAAGCAGUGGAAGGACGAGCCAGUCAUUGACUACAUCAACAGAUGGCGCACUCUAAGCCUCGACUGUAAAGACAGGCUCUCGGAAACCUCUUCAAUCGAGAUGUGCAUCCAAGGCAUGCAAUGGGGUUUGCAAUACAUCCUUCAAGGCAUUAAACCGCGGACCUUCGAGGAAUUGGCCACUCGCGCCCAUGACAUGGAGUUGAGCAUCGCCCAUCAUGGGAAGAAAGAACCGAUCGCCGACUACAAGAACGACAAAGCUCUUGGGAUAAAGGUGGAAAAGGCUGCAUGGAAACCCACCAAGGAAGUGAUGACAGUCAACACAUCUCCCGUCAAAAUAUCCACACGAGGCAAGGCAAUUCAAGUCGAAGGCUUUCGUGAUCAAGAGAUGCGUAGACGCACUUUGAAGGAGCUCGAGGAGAAAACUUAUCCAUUCCCCGACUCUGAUGCGGUUGCCAUGUUAGAAGACUUGCUAGAAAAGAAGGUGAUCAGCUUGCCUGAGUGCAGAUGGCCAGAAGAAAUGAAUUGCACCGACAGUCCAAGGUACUGUAAAUUCCACCGCUUCAUCAGUCAUCCGACAGAAAAGUGUUUCGUGCUGAAAGAUCUCAUCAUGAAGCUAGCUCAGAAAGGAAUCAUCGAGCUAGAUCUUGACGAUGUGGGGGAGUCAAACUGUACCACCUUCACUUCUGACUCUUCCGACUCAAAGUUUUCACCUCAACCACUGGGGGCAUCCUCCAAGACAAGCAAAGUAGAAGGAUGGACUCAAGUCACUCCUAAGAAAUUGCACAAGAAGCAUACGUCUCCUCCACAUGUCCGCCAAUCGGAAAGGGGGCAAAGCAGCUCUCGUCAACCUUCAAAGCAACAUGAACGUGUUGAAGAUGAUGAAAUUUCGACACAUAGAUCGUCCAUCCCCAUCACGAUGCGUGAUUUCUUUCCUGAAGACUUCUUCAAUCACUCGGUCAAGGCUCCUUGCUAUGAAGAUUGUGAGGAACGCCUCUCCAAAAUUACUUGACAAAUUCACCAUGCUCCUUGUUCGCACGAGCCUAAACUGCACGAAUCAAAGCUCAUUGUCCACACGAGCCUAAACUGUAGGACACAAAGCUCCUUGUCCGCACGAGCCUAAACUCGUGCCUCGUGCCUGCUUGCCAUGUGUUCGAGUCAACCUUCAAGAAUCAAGCCUCAACGGCCCUUGAAGAAGCUUUCAGCCAAAUUCGAAAUCAAGCCUCGACGGCCCUUGAAGAAAUUCCAAACAAAAGUUCAAGAACAAGCCUCAACGGCCCUUGAAGAAAUCUCAAGCCCAAUUCAAGAUCAAGCCUCGACGGCCCUUGAAGAAAUUUCAAACAAAAGUUCAAGAACAAGCCUCAACGGCCCUUGAAGAAAUCUCAAGCCCAAUUCAAGAUCAAGCCUCAACGGCCCUUGAAGAAAUCUCCAGCCCAAUUCAAGAUCAAGCCUCGACGGCCCUUGGAUCGACAUCUACAGUAAGGGACUUCAAAACGCAUCUCCUACACGUGACAAUCACAUGUAUACGACGUGCUUUGAAGUGGGGGCAUUUGUAGACAUCGAAAUUUCGGUAAAUAAAUGUUGACCGAUAAAUCAAAGUGUCAACGCUCAUGUAUUGCAUAAAUUUUACACGUAGCAUGUGACUCAACGAAAAUUGAAAUGAGUUGGAAAAGUCAUCAAAUAAGACACGUGUCAACACCUGGCAGAAACGACUUAUUUCAUCUGGGAUAUUAUAUUCAAAAUUAGGUCUUGGAAAAUUCUAUAAAUACAAGCCCAUUUCAUUCAUUUGGGGGGACCAAUUCAUUAGGCAAAACUCUUGAAGCUCUGAAGCUCUGAAACUCCGAAGCUCUCAAGCAUCCAGGUUCCCGAAGAAUCAAGAAAGCGUUCUUCGUUCAUCGUUCAUCCUAAGAUCAAGCCCCAACGGCCCUUUGGAUCAACAAUCAUCCACCAAUUCAAGAUCAAGCCCCGACGGCCCUUGAAGAAAGUGUUCUUCGUUCAUUGUUCUUCCAAGAUCAAGCCCCGACGGCCCUUGGAUCAACCAUCCACCAAUUCAAGAUCAAGCCCCGACGGCCCUUGAAGAAAGCACCAUCGUUCAUCAUCCGUUCAUCCAAGAUCAAGCCUCAACGGCCCUUUGGAUCAACAACGUCGACAAAUCCACACAUCCAACCGUUCUUCAAGAUCAAGCCCAAAAGCCCUUGAAGAUCCGUUCAUCACUGUUCUUCAAGAUCAAGCCCAAAAGCCCUUGGAGAUCCGUUCAUCACUGUUCUUCAAAGAUCAAGCCCAAAAGCCCCUUUGAAGAUCCGCUCAAAUCCACAUUCAAGAUCAAGUCCACGGCCCUUGAAGAACGUUCAUCCUUAGAUCAAGCCCAACGGCCCUUUGGAUCAAUCACACAUCCACAAAUACACACCUUACGGAGAUCGAAUUAGAGGAUCAAAUUUGAGAGAGAUUGUAACCCAAAAACAUCAUCAAAUACAUAAUAUUUGUUUGUGCACGUUGUUCUUGUCUCUUUCGUUUCAGAAAUUUUCCUUGUUCACUGGUGAGGCUUAUGUUACUGCUAUGAUUGGUGAGGCUUAUGUUACUGUUGAUGGGUUCGGUUAACUGGGUUUUCAUUCCGUUUCAGAUUUGUUUCGACACACACUUACAGAAAUUUGCAGGAUGCUGUGGUGAUAUUUUCUAUGAUUUAAUCAAAUGAACUAUUUGAUGUCAGUAGUUUGAGGGCUCUGACCGCAACACACAGUAGCAGCAGCGAUGAGGGAGGAGAAGCGGCACCAAUUGAUGCAGAACCUAUUCGGUGAUCAAUCUGAAGAGGAAGAGGAAGAGGUCGACUCUGAGCAUGAGUCCAAUCCCCAGCCCGAUUCUGUAUGAUCCUCUAAUUUCAAGUUUCCUUUCUAUUCUGAUUCCAAAAGCAUGUUUGGGAAUGAUUAGGGUUUCAAUUUCUACUUUAAUCUUAGCUGAAGGAAGAUAUAGGUU
rnacentral:lncRNA from 1 species